GGCUGAAACUCGCCUAUAUGAAGUCGGAAUUGCUAGUAAUCGCAGAUCAGCAUGCUGCGGUGAAUACGUUCCCGGGCCUUGUACACACCGCCCGUCACACCAUGAGAGUCGAUAACACCCGAAGCCUGUAGUCUAACCGUAAGGAGGACGCAGUCGAAGGUGGGAUUGAUAAUUAGGGUGAAGUCGUAACAAGGUAUC
rnacentral:rRNA from 1 species